GACGAACGCUGGCGGCGUGCCUAAUACAUGCAAGUCGAACGCAGUGGGGACGGGUGAGUAACACGUGGGUAACCUCCCAUCAGAGGGGAUAACACUUGGAAACAGGUGCUAAACCUAUAUGGAUGGAUGGACCCGCGGUGCAUUAGCUAGUUGGUGAGGUAACGGCUCACCAAGGCCACAGUGCAUAACCGACCGGAGAGGUUGAUCGGCCACAGUGGGACUGAGACGCGGCCCAGACACCUACGGGAGGCAGCAGGAGGGAAUAUUCGGAAAUGGACGAAAGUCUGACCGAGCAACGCCGCGUGAGUGAAGAAGGUUUUCGGAUCGUAAAACUCUGUUGUUAGAGAAGCGGUAUCUAACCAGAAAGCCACGGCUAACUACGGGCCAGAAGCCGCGGUAAUUC
rnacentral:rRNA from 1 species